rnacentral:rRNA from 1 species
GGUUAAGCGACUAAGCGUACACGGUGGAUGCCCUGGCAGUCAGAGGCGAUGAAGGACGUGCUAAUCUGCGAUAAGCGUCGGUAAGGUGAUAUGAACCGUUAUAACCGGCGAUUUCCGAAUGGGGAAACCCAGUGUGAUUCGUCACACUAUCAUUAACUGAAUCCAUAGGUUAAUGAGGCGAACCGGGGGAACUGAAACAUCUAAGUACCCCGAGGAAAAGAAAUCAACCGAGAUUCCCCCAGUAGCGGCGAGCGAACGGGGAGCAGCCCAGAGCCUGAAUCAGUGUGUGUGUUAGUGGAAGCGUCUGGAAAGGCGCGCGAUACAGGGUGACAGCCCCGUACACAAAAAUGCACAUGCUGUGAGCUCGAUGAGUAGGGCGGGACACGUGGUAUCCUGUCUGAAUAUGGGGGGACCAUCCUCCAAGGCUAAAUACUCCUGACUGACCGAUAGUGAACCAGUACCGUGAGGGAAAGGCGAAAAGAACCCCGGCGAGGGGAGUGAAAAAGAACCUGAAACCGUGUACGUACAAGCAGUGGGAGCACGCUUAGGCGUGUGACUGCGUACCUUUUGUAUAAUGGGUCAGCGACUUAUAUUCUGUAGCAAGGUUAACCGAAUAGGGGAGCCGAAGGGAAACCGAGUCUUAACUGGGCGUUAAGUUGCAGGGUAUAGACCCGAAACCCGGUGAUCUAGCCAUGGGCAGGUUGAAGGUUGGGUAACACUAACUGGAGGACCGAACCGACUAAUGUUGAAAAAUUAGCGGAUGACUUGUGGCUGGGGGUGAAAGGCCAAUCAAACCGGGAGAUAGCUGGUUCUCCCCGAAAGCUAUUUAGGUAGCGCCUCGUGAAUUCAUCUCCGGGGGUAGAGCACUGUUUCGGCAAGGGGGUCAUCCCGACUUACCAACCCGAUGCAAACUGCGAAUACCGGAGAAUGUUAUCACGGGAGACACACGGCGGGUGCUAACGUCCGUCGUGAAGAGGGAAACAACCCAGACCGCCAGCUAAGGUCCCAAAGUCAUGGUUAAGUGGGAAACGAUGUGGGAAGGCCCAGACAGCCAGGAUGUUGGCUUAGAAGCAGCCAUCAUUUAAAGAAAGCGUAAUAGCUCACUGGUCGAGUCGGCCUGCGCGGAAGAUGUAACGGGGCUAAACCAUGCACCGAAGCUGCGGCAGCGACGCUUAUGCGUUGUUGGGUAGGGGAGCGUUCUGUAAGCCUGUGAAGGUGUACUGUGAGGUAUGCUGGAGGUAUCAGAAGUGCGAAUGCUGACAUAAGUAACGAUAAAGCGGGUGAAAAGCCCGCUCGCCGGAAGACCAAGGGUUCCUGUCCAACGUUAAUCGGGGCAGGGUGAGUCGACCCCUAAGGCGAGGCCGAAAGGCGUAGUCGAUGGGAAACAGGUUAAUAUUCCUGUACUUGGUGUUACUGCGAAGGGGGGACGGAGAAGGCUAUGUUGGCCGGGCGACGGUUGUCCCGGUUUAAGCGUGUAGGCUGGUUUUCCAGGCAAAUCCGGAAAAUCAAGGCUGAGGCGUGAUGACGAGGCACUACGGUGCUGAAGCAACAAAUGCCCUGCUUCCAGGAAAAGCCUCUAAGCAUCAGGUAACAUCAAAUCGUACCCCAAACCGACACAGGUGGUCAGGUAGAGAAUACCAAGGCGCUUGAGAGAACUCGGGUGAAGGAACUAGGCAAAAUGGUGCCGUAACUUCGGGAGAAGGCACGCUGAUAUGUAGGUGAAGCGACUUGCUCGUGGAGCUGAAAUCAGUCGAAGAUACCAGCUGGCUGCAACUGUUUAUUAAAAACACAGCACUGUGCAAACACGAAAGUGGACGUAUACGGUGUGACGCCUGCCCGGUGCCGGAAGGUUAAUUGAUGGGGUUAGCGCAAGCGAAGCUCUUGAUCGAAGCCCCGGUAAACGGCGGCCGUAACUAUAACGGUCCUAAGGUAGCGAAAUUCCUUGUCGGGUAAGUUCCGACCUGCACGAAUGGCGUAAUGAUGGCCAGGCUGUCUCCACCCGAGACUCAGUGAAAUUGAACUCGCUGUGAAGAUGCAGUGUACCCGCGGCAAGACGGAAAGACCCCGUGAACCUUUACUAUAGCUUGACACUGAACAUUGAGCCUUGAUGUGUAGGAUAGGUGGGAGGCUUUGAAGUGUGGACGCCAGUCUGCAUGGAGCCGACCUUGAAAUACCACCCUUUAAUGUUUGAUGUUCUAACGUGGACCCGUAAUCCGGGUUGCGGACAGUGUCUGGUGGGUAGUUUGACUGGGGCGGUCUCCUCCUAAAGAGUAACGGAGGAGCACGAAGGUUGGCUAAUCCUGGUCGGACAUCAGGAGGUUAGUGCAAUGGCAUAAGCCAGCUUGACUGCGAGCGUGACGGCGCGAGCAGGUGCGAAAGCAGGUCAUAGUGAUCCGGUGGUUCUGAAUGGAAGGGCCAUCGCUCAACGGAUAAAAGGUACUCCGGGGAUAACAGGCUGAUACCGCCCAAGAGUUCAUAUCGACGGCGGUGUUUGGCACCUCGAUGUCGGCUCAUCACAUCCUGGGGCUGAAGUAGGUCCCAAGGGUAUGGCUGUUCGCCAUUUAAAGUGGUACGCGAGCUGGGUUUAGAACGUCGUGAGACAGUUCGGUCCCUAUCUGCCGUGGGCGCUGGAGAACUGAGGGGGGCUGCUCCUAGUACGAGAGGACCGGAGUGGACGCAUCACUGGUGUUCGGGUUGUCAUGCCAAUGGCACUGCCCGGUAGCUAAAUGCGGAAGAGAUAAGUGCUGAAAGCAUCUAAGCACGAAACUUGCCCCGAGAUGAGUUCUCCCUGACUCCUUGAGAGUCCUGAAGGAACGUUGAAGACGACGACGUUGAUAGGCCGGGUGUGUAAGCGCAGCGAUGCGUUGAGCUAACCGGUACUAAUGAACCGUGAGGCUUAACCUU